UAGUCCCGGCGGCCACAGGACGCGCGGAGGCGGGGCGGGGCGGGCACUGCUGUCAGCCGCGAGAGCCGGGACUUGUACA
rnacentral:sRNA from 1 species